UAAAAUUUUUCAUAUAUUGAAUUUAUUUUAAUAUAUAAAAUUUAUACAAAAAUGUAUUCAAAACCCACACACUUUAUAACCAUAAAAAAACGUUAUAUCUUUGUAUAUAAUAUAAAAAAA
rnacentral:misc_RNA from 1 species